rnacentral:lncRNA from 1 species
AGGUAUAUGACCAAUUGAUUUUAGGUCAAGUGGGAGUUUAUUAGGUAUGUGCCCCAUAAGUCAAUUGUUGGCUGACACAUUUAUAAUUUCAGAGCCUAUUUUUUGUACUUGUAAAAUUUUUAUUAUUAAUAAAAAAUAUUUUUAUUUUUAAUUAUGUUUAUGUGUCCAUGAUUUAUCUUAAAAAUUAACAAAGAUGAUUUUAUAUAUUCUCAAAAUAUUGAGAAUUUGAUACAUGCAUCAUUAGUGAUUAGUUUCUAAAUGUUCACAAUCGUAGGAUCAUCACGGAGGACAGUAAUCAAUCCAUUUAAGAUUGAUGUAUGAAUCACCUUUCUUAUGGAUAAAUAAGUCUCGAGUCUGCGGUGUAAGGACAUUAGGAUGAGAGUGCAGGUGGUUGUUAGAGAACAACUUGUACUGAGUGUGACCAACAUGAGAAACCACUUGAAUGUCUACUCAUUCGUCAGUGAUCUCCUCGAUGCUGCAGUGGUGUGAGUGAUCUUUUGACCUAUGAUGUGUUGGCUAUUCGCAACAAGACUAUCAAGUUUGACUGCACGUUUCCUUGAUUCCUAGUCAUUUUGGUCUUUACUGUGUAUGUUGGCUACAGUAGGUUCAAGUUCGCUGUUAGAGUAGGAUGUACCUAGAUGGAAUCUAUCGAUCAGAAAAAUAGUCUUAUGCGAUUAGUAAGACUAAGUUCAAGAAGUCUCCAGUCGAAUCAAGUGUGAAUACUGAAAAAAAAAUUUCACAGGAUUCAUAGAUGAACUCAAGUUGAGCCAAUCAGAUAUAUAAUUGAUGAUGGGGUUUGAUGAGUUCUCCAUGACCUCCGUCAAGUCGAGACUCGCGAUAGAGAGACUAAAUCACACGAUAACUGCACCUAAAGAUUUAGAUUUUUUUAUUCUGCUAGAUUACCACUAUAUACUGCUAGACGUCACUGGUGGAUUAUAAGAACUCACUUGGAUUAUUUUCAAAUCAACGAUCCUUAUUGGGUUGAGCUAGACUUGUUUUGAUCCAUUGAAAGAAGUUUCGAUGAUAUUAUGAUGGAGAUUACAGUAUGUCUCACUAUCAGACAGAAUAGAACCUGAGGAAUCACACACAAAAGAAGUUUUGAUCCAAUCAAUGAUUUGGAUCAAAGUCAAAUCAUCAAUUGGAUUGAUGAUUUGAAUAAAUUUGUAAGUGUUACAGAUUUAGUAACUGCUAAUUGUUAGCAUAAAGACUUAAUUACAAAUAUUGUAAUUUAAUUGAAACUGAUUAAAUUAUGGAUCAAAUCCUAAUUAAUUUAAAUCAUAUUUAAUUUAAUUGAGCUAGAUUUAUUUUAAUGCUAAUUAGAUUUAAUUAUCCAAAUUAGAUUUGGAUUUCAAUUUUGAUUGGAUCAGAUUUGACAGUCUUUCGAAUUUGAUUCGAUGUGGGCUCAAUUUGAACUCGAUUUGAAUCCAGNNNNNNNNNNNNNNNNNNNNNNNNNNNNNNNNNNNNNNNNNNNNUUUGAACUAAAUUGAACCUAACCUCUUGAGCCCAUAUUCCCUGAGCUUCUUUCUCCACUUGGCCGACCAGAAGUGGGAUGGGGCGAUGAGAAAUCUCGUGUAAUUUCUUUGGCACGUGUGAAGGGGUAUGGAUGGGUUGUUAUUUGGUUUCUUGAUUAGUUAGGACUCCUAUCUUGAUAAGAGAUAGAGCCAUCUCUAUCUAGUUUUGGCAUGGAAGAGUGCAUCUUUUGUGCGACAAAAAAUUAUAAAAGGGGGUGUGAUGCGUGAGGGUUUUUAAUCCCUUAUUUUGUGUGCUACUUCUUUCUUGUCACCCUCUUCCUCCUCCACGCCAACUUUUCUUGUUCCCUCCUUUCCACACCCCAGUUCUUCCUCUUCUAGAUUUGAUCUGCGAGAAAGGAGGCCUUAGAGAGAGAGAAAAAUAAUCAAAAAGGAGUUCUUGAUUAGUUUUGGUGUUUGGUUCAAUCCCCAGAAACCUGCAACAGGUCUGCUUCAAGUGAUAUAAAGUAAAAGGCUCUGAUCCAAGCCGAAGAACGAAGCCUAUAAAGGAGCUAGCACCCUGAGGGCUAUAGAGUUCUGAUCAAGACAUCUUCAUGUGGAUACCAGCAGAAGCCGAGCGCUUGCAUGGCUUUGAUAGCAAUCCCAGACAUCCGCAGGAUCCGAUCUGAAGAAGGAGGAGAGAAAAGCAUCAGGUAUAACUCUUCUUUUGUCAUUUAUGAUUUCAGAUCUAUGCAAAUAAUUUAUUUAUGCAUGUUAGACGAUCCUAGUGUUGAUUAAGAUUGGGAAUCUGCAUAUUUGGAUUGGAUUAAAAAUUUUAAAGUCUGCUUCCGUUGUGGUUAGUGUAACCGUAUCGAUCUAUGCAUACGAAUUAACUUGCAUUCCAAUAGAAGAAUCAUAAUUCAAGAUGAAAGCAUUUAGACAAUAAGAUAAGUUUUUUUGUGAGCAAAACUGCAACAAUGGACAUAUGGAUCUUUCUAAAGCAUGGAAAGUGAAGAUGAUCACAGGUGCUCCCAUGUACAAAAAGCAACAGAAGACUGGUUGGUAUCCUCAGCCUACCAAAUGACCCUCUUCAAGUUAUAAUUUUUGCAUUGCUAUUGCUAGUUGACUCAAGGAAGUUUAUGGGAUCCAAAGAGAUAAAUGACCUCACGUGAUAGAAUAGCGACAUAAAAACUUAAUUACAAUUAGCAUCAAGCUUUGGUCUGCCAUGCCACUUCUAUGCAAACCUGAGGAUAAGGUUACAUACUUUGAAAAAUAGAGGAUUGCAGGUUCCUGAAUUUCUGGAUUUGAAUCCUAAAUAUGCAGUAGGACACAUUUGAGUAACUAUGAAGUAUAUCAUUUAGGAUUCGCAGAAAAAGUCAAAUCUAAUUUGUGAUCAAUCUGCUGCCAAAACUUACAUACGAAUGAAAUUUAAGUGAAAUGAAACAAAAAAAAAAAGAAGUGGAAGAAAAAGAAAAAGGUGAAGAAAAUAGGUUUUAGGUAUCCACCUUAGGGAGAAGGAAUAACUUGGAGUCCACCACUAGAAAAGUUUUAUUGAAGCCACAUAUAUUCACCACUAGUCUCUAAUAUAUUAACCUUAUAAAUUUGUAGAAAAUUUCAGCCAUCCAGCUAAUCUAUCACCUAUUAGAUAAGAGUUUGGUUGCUACCCUGCAUCUUUCUGUGUCAGUGUUCGUGUGGGGGCAGCAACCUCCUUAUGUAACCGGAUAAGUUUGUAGAAAUUUUAGCAAUCUAUAUGAUCUAUCACCUCUUAGACAAGGGUUUUGCUUGCAUCCUGCCUCUUUCUAUGUCUGUAUGAGGCGGGUCCGACAAUUUCCUUAACAGUUAACCUUACAAGUUUGUAGAAAAUUUUAGCCAUGCAUCUAAUCUAUCAUCUAUGAGAUAAGAGUUUGGUUGCUGUCCUGCCUCUUUGCAUAUCUGUGUUGCAGUGGGUAGGGCUGUCCGCAGAGUGGAUGACCAGCUUCUAAUCUGGAAGCAAUCCAAAUUUAAUUUGGUCCAACUUGAGUUGCUAAGUUUUUUUUUUGGAUCAGUCUUGGAUUCAAAAACAUGACCUCUUUUGAAUAUGGAUUGGAUUUGGAUCACUAAAUUUCUAAAACUUGACCAAUCCCAAGCUAGUCCAAUAUAUGCUUCAAAGCACUCCUUAAAUAUAAGAAAACUAUUUUUCCUUUCACAAUAUAUUCCGUCAACAAUUUGUGUUGUUAAUUAUAACUAUAGAUGGUUGUCAAUCAAAUCUUUUAUUACGUCUACGCAUUGCACAGUAUUAUUUUGUAUAAUAUAUUUAUGAUAAUUAGAUGAUCAUUUUAUAUAUAUCUGUUGUGAAUUGUAUUUAGAUUACUUGUGACCCCAUUUAAUCCAAAAUAUCUGACGGAUUUGUAAAUUUAGUAUUAUACCCGAACUGAUACAAUCCAAAUGGAUCUGGAUUAUAUUUGGAUUCAAUUUGUUGACUCGAUUUAGAUAUGGAUUGGAUUUGUGUUAUGUCUAUCCUUGAUCCAAACCGACCCACUUGCAGGCCUAGCAGCAGGGGGCAGCAACCUCAUCAACGGUUUCUUUUCAAUAAUGAUGAUGAUAAUGAGGACCUGAAAUCAUCAAACUUAAGCUAGAGGACUCAAUUAAUGCACAGGAAUGAAUGGAAUAGGUCCCAAUAGGUCAUGAAUUUAAAUUUCAACCAUUGAACUAGUCCCAAUAAGCAUAAAGUUCUACAACAACAAAUAGAAAAUUGGCUACAUGAGGAGCUAAUUAAGAAUGGCCCUAGCUCUUUGCUUAAGGCCCACAGACACAAUAGAUGGUUUGCCCAUGUAUGUAAAAAGCUGUGCAGUCAAUAAACUUCAGCACAAAUGCCCUGGAGAAACAGAAGCCUAGAAUUAUGUAUAUAAAUCAGUCCUGUCAUACAUGAUUCCAAUUUGUACCUUUAGUACAACUGCAUCUAUAUGCAUGUUAUUACAGGUUCAUUGGUAUAUGAGUAAUCAAUCUCUUAUUAGACAAUAUAUUGGCUUCAUUAUCAGCAUUUAUUAAUGAUGGACCUCGACAAUUCUUUUCUAGAAUUAUAUACACAUGCAAACUGAAAGACAAAUGACAGUGUCCAGGACACAGGAAAAAAAAAUCUAUGAGUUUUUCAUUAUGUUGUUUGGGUCAUCAAAUAUACCUGGCACAAAUGCGGGUUCCACAACAAGCGACAAAACUCUUUAUUGCUAAGUUUCUAUUGAUGAUUUAAAACACAGCUGAUAGGUUGCCUACAUGGUCCACCAGGUGGGACUGACUGGGCACCCGCCUUUCAAUUUUGCAUCAUGUUCAAAUAUAUGGAGAAUGAGUUUGAUAUAUAAAUUGGUCCUAGAUGUUGCCAAGUUGGUAGCCACUUGACUUAUAAUGUUAGUAACCUGAAGUAGGAGAGAGUGUGAAGUGGAUUUAGGUGCAGAUGCCAUGUAGCAGAUCCCCAAGGAAGAAGAAAAAGAAAGAACAGGAAUAUCCUGAGAGUUUCUUAGUGGGGAUUGCACUUAGAUAGAAGUUUCCCUUCACUGUGCUUGCUAUAUCUUAUUUGAUUAACUAUGUUCCAUUUAUUGGUUUUAUGUAUCUUUAAGGCUUCUUGCAUUUAACUUUAUUUUUAAUUUAUCAUUUUUGGGCUGCCUUGACCUAUGGGAGACUGCCUAGGUUCCAAGAGCUAGGCACUCCUGGCACGCCUGCCUACCACCUACUCCAAUUUGGCAAUAUUGACAUUUACAACUAGCCUUUUAGAUCAUAUGUAGCAGCUGCAUUUGGUGAAGGUGCUAUCAAGAAAGGUUAUUUAGAAAUGUUGCAUUUCUCUAAAUAGCUUCACAUCUUUCAGUCAUGUAAUUUAGAAAGUUUUAAGCUUGAUCUUGACAACAGUAUUGAUAUAUUGACCUUUACCUUAUUGCAUUAAAUAGGCUAUGAGAACUUUUCUUUGAUAAGCAAUAGCAAAUAUCAUGAUCACUUUACAGUGUUGGUAACUUGUAUCGGACAAUUAAAUUGUUGUUAAGUGCUUUCGAGCAUCCUUUUUCAUUGGAUGAUCAGCAAAAGAGACUAUAACAGCAAGUUCCACCAACUGGAUGUAUCAUCUGGUCUACCCAAACAUGUUGAAGAAAUUUUUUUUUUUUUUUGCUGGUUAUCUUGACAAAAUGAUGAGAUGACAACAUGAUAAAAGAACCAAGGCUUGCUAGCAAUAGGAUGCUUAGUUUGGUAAAAAAGAAAAUAUUAGGAUUUCUCCAUGCACCAUAUGUUGGUUCUCAAAGACUCAUAUACACCACUACCAUAUGUAGUUCAAAAUGUGUAUAAACAUGAGACAAGGCUGUGAUGCGAGUUAGUGUUAGAUGGAAAGAAUAAAAUAUUUUAAAGAAUCGAAUAAAUAGCAGGUUGAGAUGGACUUUCAUACAUGAACGUGAUUUAAAACUUAAAAGGCAAGCCCACACUGCAAAUGGCAUCUAUAUAGUAUGCUAGGAUGUGAUUGAUGAUCAAAGCGAAUGAACCAUGGAUUCCCCACAUGCUGCCACAUCAUUGAGAAAGGAUUCGUGCAUACAUACAUAUAUGUACACAACUGCAGUCCAAUAAUUUUUAUAGAGAAUCUGAGGACCUUAACAAUAAGAAAUAAGACAAGGACAAGAUAGAAUGAGGAACCAAAUACCAUACACAGAUUAUGAGCAAAAGAAUCAGAAUAAUUGAGCACUUGUCUAAAGGAAAAAGACAUACAGGGAAUACAUGAAUUCAUCCCUGAAUAAUUCGAAAGGACUGAGUCUAUGCCAGACACUAAUUAAAGGCCUUCCAAGGAGGUCUCAUUCACAAACAGCUAGCAUUUGGUUAACAAAACAACCACUAUUAUUGUAGCACCAAUAGACAAAGACAUAAUCUUUAGAGUCCAAUAAACAUAUAGCAUCCUACCACACCUUCACAUGUCCCACAUAAUUUCGACAACACUGCAGUUAUUUCAUAUAAAAAAUUAUGUAAUUGAAUUCAAACUGGAUUAAGUCAGACAAUAGAGCCCCUUACACAAAUGCAACCAUGUUUUGAUUAUAAACACAUGAAACGAAAUAUCUCAGAAAGAUUCAAAGUGAUCUAAAACAGGAACAAACUCAACAUCAAAAAUUAUAUUCAUCAGAACUAAGCAACAUAAUAGAGUUCAUUGAUUAGCACAUGUAUUUCGAACAAGAAUCAAUCAGUCAAUGAGAAACGCAAAAAAAACAAAGUAAAAAUCCAAUUUUUAGUAGAAAAAUUAACUGAUACCACAACAGAGAUCUAUAGCGUCAACUAAACAAUCCAUAGAGAAGCAAAUCUCACCUGGGACCUCGUUGAAUGACGCUGUAGUCGCCGCGGGGACGCCGAGGCAAAGGUCGCGCGCCCCAACCCUGACCCUGAGAGAUUGGAGACAAUCCCAGCGAGACAGAGCACAAUCACCUCCCCGGCCGGGCCGGCGGCGGCGGCAUCUCCAGGGCGGCGAGGUGGGGGAUCGGAGGACGGAGAGGAGGAAGGAGCAGAGAUCGUAGAGAACCCACGAUGGCUCGUCCUCGCCCCUCAUGGUGGACACUAGAAGAGAGGGAGAGGAGGGAGAAGAGAAUUCCCGAAAUACCCUCUUCGAAAAAAUUUCGGCGAUGGAGGUGGGCGGGGAGUGGAUAGAAUGGGAUCAAAACUCUUCUCUCUCUUCUUCAAUCUUUUAUUCUUAUUUUUUGCUCUAAUCGGACUCGCGGGAGCGAAGAGAAUGGGAGGGAUGGCCGAACGGGGGAGACCGGAAGAGCAACGGAAAUUUUUUGAUAUAUUCACCACCAAUUACAUUGAUACGUAAAAAAGAGAAAGCAAGUAAGGAGUGGAUUGUUAGAAAUGAAGAGUGUAUUUAUCCAUUCUCGUGCAACGUUAUUUAGUUUUUAAAAUAAUCAAAUUUUGAUGUAUGCACCCGAAUUACUGUAACUGGUUGAGACUAGACGUGGAAAGAGAGUGAGAGCAAAGAGUGAAUCAAUUGGAAAAGUAAUUAUUUUGUAAUUAAUAAUUAUAGGUUAUUAAUAGGUUAUUUCGUUUUUGUAAAGUAAUUAAAAGAUUAUUUUGCUUGAAAUUAGGAAGGAAAAAGUUGGCUAACUUGAGAUGUUCCGAGGCGGGAACAAGACAAAAUUUUUAAACGGAUUACAGCUAACGGAAGUGAUUUUUUUUUUUGUACCUGAUAAGAAUGCUUGGGACCUCGCAGUGAGCAAUGACCGAUAUGUUCUGUUUUUCUGAAGAAUCUGGAGGGUUUCCUUGAAGUAGGAAGGAGAGUCCGAGAUCUUGAUUACAAUGGCUAAAAGAAGACAGAAAUUUUGUAUACUUCAAGAGGAUCGGGUAAGAGAGAAGAAACAACCUUUAUCUAGCUUGACCAGAAAUAAUAUAGUAUUGUUACAUUUCAAUAUUAAAAUGACUAUAACUUGUUGCUGGUCUUGAGGUAAUAGGGGGAACAUGAAUGGAAAGAAGUUUCACGUUUUAACACCGUAUGCAUGUCCUAAUGGAGCUAAUUAUUAAUCACAUACUUUCCCACUACUCUUAGUACUCAUGUUCAAGGCCUAAUUAUUCUUGUUUUUUAACCUAAAAGUUAUCAUCCUCUUAUCUUUUUAACCCAUUACUUUGGUUAAUAAUAGACCAUAUUAACUUAAGAAGGCUACAUGAGCGUAUGGAUAAAGCUCUUACCAGUAGUCUCAAAAUAAGACAAUAAUAUACAACACAUCCUCAUCCUACAUGCUAACAAACUUGAGAAUACUCUAACCAAAGAAAUGAGUUCUUGGUGGAGCUUGGCACUCAGUCUCUUGUGCAAAGUCAAUUCUAAGUUAUAUGACGAUCUAAUUAAGCUGUUGUGUUCUAGAGGAGAUUCAAGAAAGAGAGGGUUGGCUGUACCGAUUCCCAAGCUUUGAAAUGGUGAAGCAUAUAAGAAGGAAAUGACUCACAUGCGAUCUACGUAGCAAGAUUGGAUACGGCCAUCUCUUUAUAUAUGUUGGCAACUAUCCAUGUGUCGACUCCCACUACUCACAUAUAUCCACACAUAUCCGCUAAAUGAAAUUUGCUAAGAAAUAAAACCAACAAAUAUUGUGAGGGGGACAUCCAGGGAAUUGAAGCAGCCAAUGUCAAACCCCUAUAACUUUGACCUUGAUAGCUGGUUGGGCAUGGCAAGCUGUUCUUAAAACCGAGUUCUUAUAUCUUCUUUCCAUCUUGAGAAGAAAUGAUGGAAAGUUUUGAUUAGCCAAAAUGACCUAUAUAACAUUUUUUUAAUCCAUUAAAAACAAUUAUUCCAGCUGGAUGAACCAAAAUUGUAUAGCAACUAGAAAAUUGCCAUAUGCCCUAUUUGAAGGAAUUUUCUACAAGCAGUGCUGUAGAAGAUUAUACUCCAAACGGGACCCCAUCAAGCUUUCAAAUUAUAAGAAAAGCUUCUUCUAGAGCAAACAUUCAGAUCCAUCUGCCAGUGCUGAAUCUUCCUAAUUGGCAUGGAUUCAACUGACAGAAAAGUCAAACACCAUGUGAGAGCAUAACAUCUCUCUGGGAGUCGUAUGUUCAAAUCUGAAUGUAGCCACAAAUGAGUAUUUAACAAAUCAAAGAGUAGUGUCCAAUGGUUAGGGUAGUAGAGCAGUAAAACAUCUAGGCAACGAGAUGCUGAAUGCUCACUUGUGCCAGGCCAUCUUACGCACAGUACCAGCCAAAUUUAUUUCUUAGGGCCACAGUAUGUCCUCAAGAACAUAGGCAUGCCUCAACAGAUCAAUAUUUGCAUAUAGAUUCUGUAUUAUAUAAUAAGAUUUCAGCAUGUCAAAAUAUUACCAGGUGAAAAAUGCUGUCUAACAAAAUGAUAAAAGUAACCAUGCGAAGUAACAACGCAUCGUCAUCUACUUGAUUGUUGGCAUGUUUCUGCGCUGCCUAACUUUCAGGUUACUUGUAGCUAGAACUAAACCAGCCUGAUCAAAAUUACCACCCAGAUAUUAAAAGGCUUACUUCUAAACCAUCGAUAUAGAAAAUUAAGCAUAAAUCUGGGAACAAAAAUCUCAGAUACGGUAGUAGAAUAGCUCUCUUCAAGGAGUUUUCAUAGAAUAGGUUUGUAGACAACAUUGUCUUGCUUGAAACAACAGAACAGUUGCCAAUUACAGACCAUUACACUCAGCAUAUGGAGUGCAAGUGUCUUUGUCAUACAACAUACAUUAUGCCCCAAGGUCACAAGCAGAGGUAAAUCAAUCAUCUGUCCUCACGCAAGCCAUCCUGGCAUGUAAUUACUCACGCUAGGCCCAGGCGCUGCAGCAAUCGUUAUUUGUUCUGGAGGAUACCUACAGGAAAAUUAACAAAGUACUUUGAUUAAAAAUAAAUAGAGUAAGAGUGGCUGAUAGAUGUUUCUGACACCAAGUUUGGUCAGCUAGGAAAGAUUUCAUUUUCAUGAAAUAGUUUGCUAGAAUAUUUAGAAGAGAUAAUCUGAACACUUUGGUUUGCAUUUCAUGUACUGGAACAUGAAACGAUGAGAAAAUCUUGAGCUUUUUCCUUUGCAAUAAGUAAAACCAUGGCAUCUUUAAACUCAAGCAUUCAUGGGGACUAUCUGUCAUAAAAGCAUGCAGUUCUACUCUCAGUCCAUAAUUUUUUUAAUUGGAGACCAGAUAACACAGUUAUAUAUCUUGUACGAUAUCUAAAACUUUAAUCCAUCUCAGUAGACAAGUUGCAUUGUCUAAGUCACAGUUCAUAAUACAUUUCUUGGAUCAAAAGUUUUCAAAUUUUUGCAGUAGCCCGAAUAUGUUAUGGAUUAUGAGGUGAAGCUCUUUAAGUUAGAACCACCAUCCAACCUACAAUGCAACAUCAUAUUUUUACAGCAUGAAGUUAUUCCUGAUAUUAAGUGAUUGGAGUUAAAAGUGGCUUCCAUAAAGUUCCAUCAAUAGGUAUGCAGUGAUUAUUGUUCUUCAGUGAUGAGUCUAAUUUGUUGGUGUAAUGGCCUUCCAAGGUAUACUCAAGCAUAGGCUACUGGAUUCAACCUAUAGUUCCUAGAUGACAAAAUGGUUGGCAGGACAAGUGUCACAGUGGGGCAAAAAACUCUUAUACCAGAGCGUGCUUUGUCUCAAAAUGGGAUCCAUGGAUAUAUGAUAAAUCUUGAUUUCUGUUGGAUAUUGAGAUCAAAUCAAGUAGGCGGCGGGGGGUCCAUCUAGCAUGCUUGCACACCAAGACUUGCCAUGCUGAGGCAAAACAGCUGAAUCGGGUCCCACAUCUUGAGUUGAAAAAGAUGGUGGGUGAGGUACGUUUAAAGGGAGCGGUUCAGCUAUCUAUAAGGUUGGAGACAGCCAUGCAAUGCCUUGAAUACCCACGAAGGAGUUCCUAAACAGACAGCAGUCGCUGAGAAAUGGAAGAUUCAGCUGGGGCUGAUAUCAUCCACCUUCAGCUGUGAGUAGGCUCUCAUUUUUGGAUCUCUUUUGUGGGGCAUUUCCCCUGCAUUGCUAGCUGAACCAAAUGCAACCUACCAAUGGAUCCCACCAUAUCGGCAAGUACAGGAGGGAGACAUCAGACCUUAAGAACCACUGCUUUUCUUGGUUAAGGUGGCUGACGUACUUCCAAAUUCUUAACAUGACCCCCUUACAGGUUAAUUAUGGUGAUUUUUACUCCAAAAAACAGGGCCAUUUCCUCAUGUAUGGAGAACAAAACUAAAAGAAGAACCGACACUGGAAGAAGAUACCCGAUAUGGAGAGUUGGAUCGCACUCUAUCUGUUGGUAGAAUCCAUCUCCCUGUGGUUGAGGUGGCUGCCGGCCAUAGCCCACUGCAGGAGCAUUGGGAUCCCAAACUUGCUGCUGAGUAGCCUGGUUGCUUUCCUCCAACUGCACAUCCACAAUAAAAUUCUAUGGUAAGCUUCUAAGUUUUUGCUAGUAAAACAAUCCAUGUGCCUAUAAUAUUCAUAUUUAGAGCUACCAUUACGACAGGCUCCUUACCCUUUGCUUUAGACUUUUAUUGGCCUCACAGAGCAUUUGUUCCUGCAAGAAAGAACAAUGGUAGUAGGAAGGAAAAGGUGGAAUGAGAAAAGCUGUUUGAUUUUAUUAACCAUACCCUUCGUUGAAGAUCUGCAAGUUGAUCGAGCAUGUAUUGGGUCUGUGAGAAGAUAAUUGGUCAGUACGAGUUACUUAAGUAGCCUGACAAGUUAGAUCCUAUUUUAUUUUAAAGAAAUAGGAACUAGCUGACUUCAAUUAUGAAAAUUUUUCCAUAUAUGAAGCAUUCACCAGCUUUACAAAUGUGGUUAUUAAAAUAAAUGAACGUUCUUGUCUUAGAACACAGAUGUAGACAUUAUUUGUCAUCAUGGGAGUAGAGGAGGGGACUUAAACCAUGAUAAUAAUGCAGUACAUUCUUAAGCAGAAAAGCGUCUAUAUUUCAGAAAAUUAUGAACCUUUGAUAUUGUAUGUUAAACAUCCUCUGUGGGAAAAGUAAUAUAUGCAGUACCCUUGUGGAUCUGAUUUGCUUCAAUGAUGCAUCUAGUUGCCGCUCAAGCUGCUCAAGCUCCUUGCUGCUGAGUGGCCCUAAGUCAUCACCAAGGAGAUUUCUGAAGUUGCAGGGGUUUAAGAACACAUAAGAUCCCAUUAUUAGUAUUCAAGGAUUCAGGCUAAAUAUAGAUUUGUAAUUAAGGGUGCAGAUUGUUAAGCAUGGAAGAGACUGAAAUCAUCGAUGUGGAAGAAAUUCACCUCUGUGAUCUCUGUAAUGCUUCAACACGUGCUUUAAGUUUUAAGUACUCUUGCUGACUAGUCUGUGCUAGCAAAAAGGUAAAUUAAUCUUCUCCAGAGCACAACGAUCACAUAAUCUGAAAAGUUAUAUCACAAGGUAACAUGCUACGUGAUGAUUUGUUUGUAUCCCUUAUUUACAUUACAAGGUGAUAACUUUUGAAGUAUUAAAAUCUUCUUGUCAUAGCAUAUAGUUCGACCUAUUAAUAUCCCCAUCUCAACAGAUUUCAGCCAAGCCUUCCACCCAUCUUGGUUCUCAAAAGCUUACUAAGACCUAAAUGUUAACACACAAAUUGUUAUCUACACUUGGCUGAUUGCUAGAGUGCCUUCAUGUGGUGUCAAAAUGGACUUCGUCACUGGAUGUUUCAAGAAAGCUGGGAGAAGCGACUCCAUCUUUGUAGUCGUCUGCCAGUACACAGAAUUUGCACCCUUCAAUGUCAAAAAUCCUCUGAGACCUACAUGACUUGAAGGGUGACAACCUGCAUGGCAUAUUGAGCAAACUUGCUUUCAAUUUUCAUAGGCACUAUAUCUCCAAGUCUCACUUUAUAGGUACAUUUCUGGAUUGAAUUAAGGACUAUACUAGGUUCAUAGUGCUUACUUUUAUGUAGAUGGCCAAAAAUGAGGUGAUCAACCAGAGUUAGGAAAUUUGCUAUAAGUGAGGAGCUUUCACGGGUGAAAUAACAUUUCAACAGGACUGAAUUCUACCACUAGUUCAAUUUAGUCUCUUUUAACAAGUCAAUUAGGGAUAUAGUUGAAUUUAGUCUCUUUUAACAAGUCAAUUAGGGAUAUCCCAUGGAAUCGUCUUGAUCAUUCUAUAUGAUACAUUUGUACCAUUUCUGAAAAAAGGUGUGCCAAUAGCUAUGCCUCGCCUAUGGCAGGGUUCAAAGAAACAUUUUAUCUUAAAAAGGUCAAGGUUGAUUUACGCAUAGAGGAAAGGUGUUAACUAACAGUCCUGUUAGGUCCUUCCAUCGUCAACCUAGUCAUUAUAUAUUUAAAUAGUGAGCAUAUGUCAAAUUGACAGUAUAAUAUUACCUAUGAUGAGUUAAGAAUAUGUUAUUGCAUCUUAUAUGUGCUGUUUUUAGAGAUCUUGAAUGGCUUCCAUUCAAGCUAAGGGAAUCCAAACCUGAAUCAAAUCCAAGCAACACAUUCUUACCUAUAAAAUUUAGUCUCAAAAUAAUUUAGUCUAACUCAUCAUGGUUAGGGCCAAGCCCACAACGCUUUGAUGGUCUCUAAACCACUGCCAAUGAUAUUGAGACUGCCUAGAUAGAUGAUGUCGAUGUAGAUAUUACAUCUAAAAGAAGUUACAAGAACCUAUCAAAAAGAUAUAGGUUUUCCUUGAACCGAAUGUUACAUGGCCACAUUAAGUAUUAAGCAUCCAGGUAUCCAGAAAAAAACUUGACAAACAAAAUUUAGAAUUUAACAUAAGAAUGCACACCAGUAGCAAGUAGAUGUUUGUGUAAAUAUGUAUGCAUAUACAUAUUUAAAUGAAAAAUCAGUUGGAUCAAUUGAAACAUCAUUGAAUGCUAAAAGUUCACAAAUUUUACAUAGAAGUGUCAAAUCUUGAUAUGCAACAGUUUAGACACUACUGCUAGUCGAUUCGAGCAGUAAAAGAUGAAGUGUGCUAGUUUUCGAUACACCAUAAAACACAAAAUAGUUUGUCUAAUGCUAUUGCUGGGCAAUAAUUCAAUGAACUUGCUAAUUUCUUUCCAUUAAAAAGAUCUAGAUUGCAAUUAAAAAAGUACAUAAAGAAAAGUUUCUGAGACUAUGGGCUUGUUAGAUAAUUACCAAGAUUAGGACUCCACCAAACCUACCUCUCCAACCCAUUCAUUUCUUGGGGUUAUAUUAAAGCUUUAUAAAUAUGGAUUGGAUUUGGGAAUAAAUAUUCCAACUCGAUCUCAAGUGGGUUAGCUUAAGGUUGACCUCAAAGCCAAUCUAAUUAUUUACAAAUAGAAAAUUAUAUUUGAUAUAGAUCAGUUUACAUUUAUAUAUUUAUAUUUUUAGUCAUGUUAAAUUAUUUGUAAGUAUAUCAUUGAAAUUGAUGAAUAGUUGAUAUCUCAAUCCAAUAGAUAUUUAAUCUAGCAAAAAUAUCUAAACCAUAUUCCCUGUCUUAAAAUAUCUAUUCAAGGUGAUCUAACCCAAUUAAGAUGGUACAAACCAAACCCAUCUGACCUAAUCUAAUCAAAAUUUAGCUUGAGAUUAGAUUAAGUUGGUUAAAGGCUAGAGAUAUCCCAACCCAAGAUCGGGUUGGAUUUCAUUCAAGUUUGUUUUCAACCCACUCAAGUUGGAGACAAACAGACUAUGAAACAUAAUGAAGCAUCAUCAACAAUAAAGUCUAGUAUUUGAUAUACCAUUUUUCUCCAUAAUUUAUUUGCUUGCUUGCUACUGAAUGAACAAUUUUGUACUCCAAUAACCCACCUUAAAUACUACUAUUGGCCUUCAGGCAUCUAACUGCUACCUAAUUAGUUUAUAAGAAACUGCACCAACUUUGCCAUAUAAUGGUCUUAGAUAAUGAUCAAUAUUUAAAAAAUAAGGAAAAAAUAAGGACAACUAUUUUUCAUUAUUUUUUAUUAUUACAGCAUACUGUUAUAAUGUAAAUAAUAAUAGAUAUCUUUUAGUUGUACCUUCAUUUGAAUAAAAUAACAUUUUUAAAUUCAUUUUUUACCUCAAAAUUCUCUCCAAAAAUAGUCAUGUAGUCCACAAAAUAAUAAUACUUUAUCUAAUGAAAGUGAAAGGAAAGGUAAUACCAUUAUUUUCUCAUUAGUUAUUUUUUGAGAUAAACAAAAAUAUUAUAGUGGUCAAUAAUGGUUUCAAUAAUUAUUUCGAUGGGCUCCACUGUAAUGAGAUGAAACAUUACUUAAAAUCUUAGGCCAUAGGAAGCAUCCACUUCUUCAGUCUUUAAAUAGUCUAAUAUAUACAUAUAUUAUUAUGGCAAUAGAAACGUAAGAAAAAGAUAGCCAGAUAACAAAACAUAUACAAAAUUCAAAAAAAAUACAAAAAUACUUGGAAAACUAAAAAUAAAUAAAAAUUGAUUGUCCAAAAGGAUAAACAUACGUCGUUAUCCAAAUAGAUAGGCUUGCUGGAUAUCUUAAAUACUUCUUUCUUAAUUCAAUAAUAGACUUGCAUAAAAAAAUUCAACUCUAUAUAUAAAAAAUUAAGAUCUUUUGUAUGAAAUAUAACUUAUAACCUUAUUUAACAUCUUGCACACCUAACCAUCAUUUUUGUCUUUCAUACCAUAGACUCGAUAAAGAGAACAAGAAUGGUUACUUUCUUUUCUAAAGCAUAUCCAACCCAUUUAAAAGCUCUCCAAUUUUAUAUCUUUUUCAUAGUAUCCCCAUCGACGCCAAAUUUCUUUUAUCUUUGAACAUUAUUUUAGUAUUAUCUAAUGAUCCAAAAUCAAAGCUAUAAAGAACAAAUUGCAUUUUCUUAUCAUUCAUGCUUCAUUAAAAAAUAUAUACACAAUCAAAAUGAUAUAAAUAAUUUACCUUUUCUUAAAGUUCAGCCAUGAUGCUAUCAAGAUUUUUUAAAUAUAUUGAUCUUCCUCUGCAUACUUUUUUCUUCAUAUUCAUGCAAAAAGAAAAUAUUUCCACUUUCUAUGAUUUUCCCUCCAAUGUUUACCGAUACUUAGAAGCUUAUUAUCUUAAAUUUGCUUAGUCAUGUAUUUUACCAUAGGUAGCUUCAACUUUUAUAAGAUUUUCUUAAGAAAAAUUCUUGAAGGGUAUUGUAACAAAAUAAAAGUUUUCCAUGUUCCACAACAAUGAGUUCGUACAUAAUUUUUAUUUCUUUUAAGAAAAUAUUUGUCCUUUUAAUUUUCUUUUUAAAACAUUCAUUUCAUGUCUACCAUUCUAAUUUACUAUAACUUAAGACUUCCACCUAAUUUCCAUUUCUUGGAUCUAAAGUAAUAGUAACAAAGACUAGGCUCAAGUCUCCCCUCGUAAUUCAUCCAUCAAACUCUUCUUUAAAGCUUUAUCCUAAGCCUCCAAAGGAUCUUGGACAAAGAAAGAUUUGUAUUAGAACUAAGUAAGAAGGAUAGAAAACCAUAAUCAUCAAGCUUUGGUUAAGUUACUUGAGAUCAACUUUAUGAAUACACAUUUGAGCAUUUUUAUUUGAGAUUACCUUGAUAGCUAUUUCAAAUUUGUCCAUGCCCUUUCAACUUUUAUUCAUAAUAUCUUAGGCUUUAUCCUGCUCUUGCUACAUCCUUCACUAGAAAUUGAACAACAUCUCUUUGUUGAUGUUUCUCGGCAUUUUCCUUCUAUAUAUUCAUAUAAUCUAAAAAAUCUAAUAUCCAUAUGUUUUGAGGAAACCUUUAACUUCAUCCUUAAAUAAUGUAACACUUACAAUUUAGUACACUUUUCUUUUGAGUUUUAUCUCACUUCAUCUCUAUACUUUUAUUUUUGCUACAUUCAACUCGUUCUUUUGUAUACUAUUUAUGUCUAGUAUAUUUAAUCAUAUAAUGUUAUGAGAUAUAUGGUUGUUAUUUAAAUAUUUUUAUUAAAUUAUUAAAGUACAAGUCAAGCAAAUAUGACUCAAAAUGUAUUUGCAUACUUUAUCUAACCAACUGCAAUUUUAUUAUGCAUAUCAUAUCUACGACCUCAUCCAUCAACAUUGAAUGGAGUAUUAUCUUUAUUUAUUUUUACUAAAAUUAUUUCUUGUGUAUUUUAUCUAUAAAGCUGAUUUUUCAAUCCUUAUCCUCCAUAUUUUUACUAUACAAGCAUUUGAUAUAUUUCUUUUUCGAAGAAUAAAUAUUGCAUCAUCUAGAAUGUACUACAAUUUUCAUAAUAUUAAUGCUAGCUUCAACUAUAAGUAGCAAACUCGAACAAUAAGAUAUGGCAAACCCAAGUAGUUGAAUGUAGAUAAAUCAAGAAAACAAGAUGGUUGAUCUGCAAAAAGAAAAUAUGACAGACAUAUCCAAAUAAGUAGUACUAUGAAAACUAAAAUUAAGAAGAUGAUCACCUUUUUGGAAAUAUAAUUUUCUAAUUCAUCUAUGAAGAUCUUCGAGGAAAAUGUAAAUAAAAAAUGGAUGGGAGCCAAAGACUCCAAGAAGAGUAAUAUGUUGACCUUAAAGUUCAAUCUUUUCUUAAAUAAUUUCUUAUUAUAGCCAUAACUUUUACAUCUUGCUCCAAAACAUGGGACUAGUAAUAUACAGUUUCAUCAUGAAUAAUUCAUAUUAAAGGCUAUGAACUUGAAUGAAGUUCAAUAAAAAGAGUAAAUACUCAAAGAACUAAUCUUCUUUUAAUAAAAGAACUCUAAAUAAUAUUACCCAACCAUAUGAACUCAAGCUUCAACCUUUUAUUGAAUAAUUUCUCAAUAUAACUAUAACUUUAAACCUUGUUCCAAUACAUAAAACUGGCAGUAUAGAAUUUCAUCAUAGAUGAUUCAUAUUAAGGGCUACAAAUUUCAAAUUAAAAAAUAAAAAUCUUAAAAUAUUAUGAAUUAAUAUUCUUCAUAAUCAAUAACUCCCCUUAAAUCACAAUCUUCUAAAAUAAUGGUAAGUUUAUCUUUUGAAUAAUCCAAGAAUUAAGAGUCCAGAUAUUAUACAAGUUUUAGGAAGUUGUCUUAUUCAUUAACUUGAAUGUCUAUUGAUAAAAACUAAUAAAAAGCUAAUUUUUAUAUGAAAAUAAAAAUUCAAUGUUAUGCCUAGCAAAUGUAGUCUAAUAUAUUUCAAGUUUUCUCCAAAAGAAUUUAUCUUUUGCAUGGAAUUUUCAAUAAUUUGAUAAUUUGGUAGAACUUUAUAUGCCACAAGAAUUUCAAUAUUUAAAGCAUAAUACUUCAGCUCGAGCAUGAUUCCAUAAAUAAUUUUUUUAUCAUGCAGUAACUUAUGAUUAUAUUUGAUAAUGAUAAGAAAAUAACACAAAGAAUUAAACUUAAGAUAGAAUCUACCACCCCAAGAUAAAACUUUAUCUAGUUUAAAUUAUUGCCAUUUUAAAUCUAAUUUUUUAAUUUACUGGUUUGUGUACUUAUUUAUCAGGUUUUAAACUAUGUUGUCUAAGAAGAAAAAUAAGCAAAAUAUAUUUAUAUCCACCAUUAAAGGUUAAUAAAUUCAAAAUAAAUAUUAAAGAUACUAAUAGACCAUACUCAUCAAUAAACCAAAUUGCUAGAAUGGCUUUAAGAGAAAUACAAAAGUAUGUUAAUAUUGGAUUUGUGCCGUAGAAGCUAAUUGUUAGCUGACACAUUAUGUAAUUUCAGGACCUAAACUUGUACUUGUAAUCUUUUUAUUAUCAAUAAAGAAUUUUUUCAUUCCAAUCAUAUUUAUGUCCAUGAUUUGUUCUAAAAAUUAAUAAAGAUGAUUUUUGUAUAUUCUUAAAGAGUUAAAAAUUUGAGAUAUACAUUAAUUAAUAGUUAAUUUUUAAAUAUUUUCGAUUAAAAGAUCAUCACGGAGAACAGUGAUCAAUCUAUUUGAGAUCGAUGCACGGUUCACCUCUGUUGUGGGCAGAUGAGUCUUGGAUCUACAGUGUAGAGACACUAGGAUGAAGAUAUAGGUGGUUAUUAGAGAAUAACUUAUACUGAGCGUGACCAAUACGAGAACCAUAUGGUUGUCUAAUCACUCAUCAAUGAUCUUCUCGAUACUGUAGUGGUGUGAGUGGUCCUUUGACCUGCGGUGUCAUUAGCUAUUUGCAGUGAGACUACUGGGUUUGACUGCACGUUCUCUUAGUCCCUAGCCAUUCGGAUCUUUACUGUGUAUGUUGGCUUCAGUAGGUUCAGGUUCGCUGUUUGGAGUAGGAUGCACCUAGAUAGAAUUUAUCAAUCUUGGUAGAAAAGAAGAAGUCGUAUGUGAUUUGUGAGACUGAGUUCAGAAAGUCUUUGACCAAAGUAAGUGUGAAUACUGAAAAAAAAUUUUCAUGAAAUUCAUAAAUGAACUUCAGUCAAGCCAAUCUACUAUAUGACUGACGAUGGGAUCUGAAGAGUUCUCUAUGAUCUCCGUCAAAUCGAGACUCAUGAUAGAAGGACUGAAUCAUAUGAUAACUGCACCUAGAGAUUCAUAUUUUCAUUCUACUGGGUUGCCACUAUAUACUGCUAGGUGUCACUAAUGGAUUGUGAGACUCAUCGGAUGUCAUUUUGAUAAUCGAUGGUCCUUGAAGGGUAGAAUUGAAAAUAUUUUAAUCUAUCGAAAAGAGUUUCGAUGAUAUUGUGAUGGAGAUCACAAUAUAUCUCACUACCAAAUAGAAUAGAAUCUAUGGGGUCCCACAUUAAGGGAUUUAAUCUCGAAUUUAUCAAUUGAGCUUAUAAAAUUCAAAUGGAUUAGGAUUUAUUGAAAUCUUAUUAGGUUUGUGAGAACCAUGCUAGCACAUGAUUAAACCUAAUUCUUCUCAGAAUUUUGAUUUGAUCAAGUCCAUAGCCUUGAACCUAACCUAAAUCUAGUUGGGUUUAAUUAGGCUCUUAAUUAUGAGCCCAAAAAAAUUUGAUUAAGUCAAUUAGUUAGCUUAAUUAUCCGAACAUUAUCUCUUCUUUAUUUCCUAAUUAUCUCUAAGUGUGCAUGUAGAAUAGAUAAAAGAUUGGAUGGUAACUUCCUUCUCUUUUGGUAGGAAUUGGGUGCCAAAACCUUGAGGGGCCCACCCCAUUUUAUAUGGCAUGGCAUGGAGGAGAGAGAGGUGGGGCCACAUCCCAUUCUUAUUUGGAUAGAAACUCUAUUAUGGGGCACCAAGAGUUGGCACCUCAACUACCUGACAUGUAUUAGAUGGGCACCUCUUGUACCUGCUUAAAGAGGCUGAUCAUAUACCAUUUAUAUUUGAUUUUAAUUGAAAUAAAUCAGAUUAAAAAUGUAGAGGAUUUUUAUGAGAUAAUGAUCUACUUUUUUAAAAUAAUUAGAUUCCUAUUAUGUGUCAGGAUAGUGCCUAUAUAAAGGAUAUGUCUUUAGAAUUUCUAGCUAAUUUGAUUUUUGAAAAAAAUCUCUCCCUCUCCCUCUCUUUUCUUCCAUGCCCAAGAGUUGGGCAUCUCCUUUUUCCACAUGCCAAGAAGUGCUGCUUUGUCUUGAAGAAUGAAGAUCGAAGAGAAGAAGAAGGCUGCUGAUCAAGGAGUUGAUCCUGUUUAAGGUGUUGAUCAAAGUGCUCAAGCCUAAGAUUCUUCUUGGGAAGAAGAGUCUUCUACGAGAAAAAAAUAGUUCGAGAUUGAUCCUGAUGGAUAUCCAUAGAGGUCGGACACGUGUGUGGCUCGAGUGUCUACGAAUCCGUGAUUAUCAGAAGCGGUGAAUAUCUACCAGCAUUAAGGUAAUAAGAUAUGAUCUCAUAUUUAUUUCUAAAUUUUAGAUUAUAUAUAUGUAUUUUUUUUUAGGCUUGAGUAGGAUUAGAUUUGAUCUUUUGCAUGUGGGGUUAAAGAGUUUAAUCCGUUUUAUUUUUCACUGCAUAUUUCAAAAAUUUUGAAAUCUACACAUGAUGCCUACCCGAUUUUCUAACAGUGGUAUCAGAGCUAUAAAUUUUUGAAAACAUAUAUGAUCUGAUUUUUUAGAUUAGAUCCAAAAGUUUUAAUGAUUUAAAAUCAAUUUUGUGUUGAUAUAAGGUUGUCCUGGUAUACGGUUCACCUCCUAUAUUGCAAAGGUUGUCCUAGUACAAGAUUGAUCGAUUUUGAAAAUUAUUUUUAAAAUAAUUAAAUUAAAUCUUUUAUAUCUAAAAAUUAGUAUAUGUGAUAUGUUUAAUUUUGUGUUUAGAUCUGAAAUUAGAAUAAUUAAAAGUUCACAACAAAUUGAUAUAAGGUUGUCCUGAUAUAGGGUUUAUCCUCUAUAUUGUAAAAAUGAUUCUAGUUUGAUGCGAAUAGAUUUUUAAAAAGAUAUUUUCAAAAUAUUUUAAUCAUUAUUCUAGAUCUAGUUUUAUAUGUAUUUGAUAUGUAUAAAUUUAGUUUUAAAUCUAAAAUUUAAUGUAUAUGUGAUGCAUAUUUAAUUUAGAUCUGAAACUUCAUAUAUUUGAUAUAUGAAAUUAGGUUUAGAUCUAAAACAAUUUCAAGAUCAUAAGCCACUAAUUGCAUGCAAUAAAAUAUAAUUUAAAAUUAUUUUUAGAUCUAAAUUAUGUUAUUGCAUGUGGAUAUGGAUUGGACAAAUUAGGUCUAGUGAUCAAACUACAAUUAGGGUCUAAUUGAUUAGAUCAGACUAGAACCCAUUUUUGAUUUUGAGUAGUUAAUUGAACCUAAUCAAUGGAUGAUUAGGAUUAGAUCAAAGGGGCUCAAAGUUGAGUUUAGUUGUAGUUGGUCACAUCAAUUCAUAUUUUGAUGUAAAUUGAUUGACUCAAGACCGAAUUUGGCUCAACGAUUCGAGUCCAUUUUAAUAUGUUAAUCUAAUCGAUUAAUUUGAUGUCUAAGGCAAGUAUUUAGAUGGUGGUUAUUUAAUUGAUUCUGUUGUCUGACCUGAUUAAUUUUGAUUGGUAUCUAAGAAAAGCAAUGAAGAGACCCCCAUGCAUCUUAACUAAUUACCUGAUCAUCUUGGAAGAUUCAGUUUCAUGUUAAGUUACUUAUUAACUCGAGUUCACCCAUAUCGACUAGGAUGAUUAGAUAUAUUGAUAUGCUGAUCUAAUUUAAUCAGUCGGAUGUCAGAUCUGCUGAUUUAGAAGAUAUCUAAAUCUAAAUUUUUUCAUUAAAUAUUAAGUUUAAAGGUCUUUCAUUGUUGUAGAGAUACAGGUGCUUUUCUGACGUUGAUCAUUUUCGACUGAUUACAGUAGUUCGGUUGUAUCGAAAAGGUACAAUCACUCUAUUGAUAUUUUAUGUCCCGAGGUAGAGAUGGAAUUGGACUGACCAAUAACUAUUAGGUGAGGGUCCCAAUGAUGGCUUUGCACCCACUAGUGAAUGAUGGAUCUGACUUAACUAAGAAAUGUGCCAAUAAUUGUUAGAUGAGGCCACAAGACUUAGAGACCAAGCCCACUGUAUCUUGCUUAGUGAAGCAAUGGAUAAAGUAUUGUCCACUUAUUGGUUCGUACUCACCAAUAACUAUUAGGUGAGGUGCGUAUAGAUUAAUGGAAUCGCAAUACCUAUUUAAAAUUGAUCGCGUAUAGAUUUCUAUUUCUCUAUUCGAGGAGUGUGGGAGAUUCGAAAAAAUAGUGAGAGCCUUUGUUUAUUUUUUAAGUCUCUAGAAUAAAUAAUCUUAUAAGUACAAAAUCUAACUAGAAAUUAUUCUUUUUACAGAUAACCAUGUCGAAUUCAAACUCCAUAGCCCAAAUCCUCGAUAUAAAUAAGUUGACCGGCACCAAUUACAAAGUCUGGCUUUGAAAUCUGAGAAUUAUUCUCAAUUUUGAAAAACUCACACAUAUCCUUGACCAAAAAGCAUCUGUGUUACUUGCUCAUCCAUCCGCUGAUCAACAAGCUGCACUUGAAAAAUGGAUGGACGAAGAUAACAAGGUAAAGUGCUACAUCUUAGCGUCCAUGUCCAAUGAUCUUCAACAAUAGAAUGAAGAUAUGAGGACUGCCAGAGAAAUGAUGGUUCACCUACAAGAGUUGUAUGGUGAACAGAGUCGCACAGCUCACUUUAAGGUCCCUUAGAGAUUUUUCAGAGUGAAGACGUGUGAUGGGCAAUCUGUCAAUGAUCAUUGUCUGACAAUGAUCAAGAACAUAGAGGAGCUUCAGAAGCUCAGAAUGCACAUAGACAAGGAACUACUGGUGGAUCUGAUCCUCUAGUCUCUUCCUGAUUUAUAUGGACAGUUCAUUAUGAACUACCAUAUGAAUAAAAUUGAUGCUACUUUACCUAAGUUAUUGAAUAUGCUGGUGACUUCAGAGGGCACCUUGAAGAGUUCAAGGGGCACAGUUCUAGUUGUGGAGCGGGCUUCCUCCAAAAGGAAGUCUUCUUCUAAGAAAAAGAAAAAGCUUGCGAAAAAGCAAAAGAACGAGGCCAAGCUCAAGAAACAGGCUCUUAAGAAGGUUGACGAUAAAGAAAAAUAUUUUCAUUGCAAUGUCGAAGGCCACUGGAGGAGGAAUUGUCCGGGCUACCUGGCAACUGUCAAGGGUAGGAAGAAGGAUGGAUCUUUUGAAGGUAUGUCUGAAUUAUUCGUUAUCGAAACUAAUCUAAUGAUUUUCUCUUCUUCUAGUUAGAUUCUAGAUUCUGGUUCAAGUGCUCAUUUGUACACUUCAAUGUAGGAUCUUGAAGAAGAGGGUUGAGGGAAGGCUAGAUCACUCUCUGGAUCGACAAUGGAGCAAUGGUUGCUACUGUAGCCAUCAGAACCUAUCCUCUGUGACUAUCAUUAGGACUUAGUUUGCUUUUGAAAGACUGUUAUUAUGUAUCUGUAAUCAGUAAAAAAUUUGAUUUCUAUCUCUGUGCUGGCACAGGAUAACUAUAAUUUUUAUUUCAAUAAAGACAUAUGUUCAAUUUAUUUCAGAAAUAAAAUUAUUACACGUGCUUUUUUUAUUGACAGUCUUUACUCUUUGCAUACGGAUGUGAGUGUAAACAUUAAUGAGCAAAUAGUGAAUGCUAUAGGGUUUAAGAGGAUUAGCCAAAAGUAUCUAUGGCACCGUAGGCUAGACCAUAUUGGAGAGGACAGACUCAACAAACUGGAGAAAGAUUGUCUUCUCGGACCAUUGACUUUCAAGUCUUAUCCAGUCUGUGAAUCGUAUCUUCAAAAUAAAAAUGAUCAAGCUGUCCUUUGUGGGACAAGAGGAUAGGGCCACUGAGAUAUUAGCCCUGGUAUAUACUGACGUGUGUAGUCUAUUCGAUGUAUAAGUCAGGGGUGGCUAUAUCUACUUCAUAAUCUUUACUGAUGAUUAUUCAUGAUAUGGGUUUGUAUAUUUGAUGCACCGAAAGUCUGAAAUCUUUGAAAAGUUCAUAGAGUUCAGACAUGAAGUAGAAAAACAGACCAAAAAAUUUAUAAAAGUUCUUCGAUUAAAUCGAGGAGGAGAAUACCUUAAUGGAGAAUUUCGGACCUAUCUCAAAGAUAAUGAUAUAGUCUCACAGUGGACACCUUCAGGGACACUUCAACUCAACGGGAUAUCUGAAAGGAGAAAUUGGAUCUUAUUAGAUAUGGUCUGAUCUAUGAUGAGCUUCACAAAUCUUUCUGACUUGCUCUGGAGACAUGCUUUACUUACUGCGAUUCAUCUUUUGAAUCGGGUUCUCUCUAAAUCUAUUCCUACCACACCAUAUGAAUUAUGAUAUGGUAAGAAACCAACUCUUGGGUAUCUCAAGAUUUAGGGAUGUCCGACCCAUGUCAAGCGAUAGCAGACGGACAAGUUAGAAGCUAGAUCCUUUAGGACUCGUUUUAUAGAAUAUCCUAAGAAAAUCAUGAGAUACUACUUUUAUCUUCCUGAAGAUCACAAUGUGAUUGUGAGCCAUUAUGCCGUAUUCUUGAAAAAAGAGUUUAUCCAAAAUGGAGGCAAUGGGAGAAAGAUUGAGCUCGAAGAGAAAGUCUCUGAAGAGCAUCGAGUCCAAGAACCUGAACCCAAUAAUGAGCUAGUAGAUAUGAUACCUCCUUCAUCUCAUAGAUUAAGUAGGGUCUUCUGUCCUCCUGAAAAAUACAUAGAUAUUCUUACAAAGAAUUUAGAGGAAGCAUUCCUUGUGGGAGAUAGAGAUAUUAGGAAUGAUCCUAAAAUCUACGAUGAGACAAUGUUAGAUAUAGACUUCGAGAAAUGGAUGGAUGCGAUGAAGUCAGAAAUUGACUUCAUGCAUUCUAACCAGAUUUGGUACUUAGUAGAUCUACCUGAAGGUAUUGUACUUAUUGAGUGUAAAUGGAUUUACAAAAAGAAGAUUGGAUCAGAUGGUGAGGUAGAGAUCUAUAGGCAAGGCUAGUCGCGAAAGGUUAUAGUCAACGUGAAGGCAUCGACUAUCAUGAAAUCUUUUCAUCCGUAGCCAUGCUGAAAUCUAUCCGUACUCUGUUUGUCAUAACAGUAUUUCAUGAUUAUAAAAUUUGAUGGAUGGAUGUAAAAACUGUCUUCCUAAAUGGAUAUCUGAAGGAAGAUAUCUAUAUAGAGCAGCCUCUGAAUUUCACGUUCAGUGAUAGUGACCACAAGGUCUGCAAGCUGUAAAGGUCUAUAUAUGAACUUCAGCAAGCAUCUCAGAGUUGGAAUACUCGCUUCAAUGAUAUAUUAAAAUGUUUGAUUUCAUAAAAAAUAAGGAGCCGUGCAUGUAUAAAAAAAUUAGUGGGAGUGCUGUCAUAUUCUUCGUAUUAUAUGUAGAUGAUAUCCUCUUGAUUGAAAAUGAUAUUCCCAUGCUGACGUCGGUCAAAGUAUGGUUAUCAAAAGAGUUUACUAUGAAAGACCUAGAAGAAGCUUCCUACAUUCUUGGUAUAAAGGUCUAUAGAGAUAGAUCUAAGAGAAUGAUAGGACUCUCACAAUAUAUGUACAUAGAGGAAGUGCUGAAGAGGUUCAACAUGAAAAAUUUCAAGAUGAAUCUUUGCCCCUUAGACAUGACAUUCAUCUCUCUAAAAAGAUGUACCCUGACACUCCUGAGGAGAUCCAGUGCAUGAGCAAGAUCUUUUACACUUCUACAAUAGAGAGCUUUAUGUAUACCAUAUUAUGUAUAUGUCCUGAUAUAGUACUUGUCGUGAGUGUUACGAGUAGAUAUCAGGCGAAUCUAGGUGAAAAAUACUGGAUUGCUGUUAAAAACAUCCUUAAGUACUUGAGAAGGACUAAGGAUUUGAUGUUGGUCUUUGGUGGAGGAUCGGAGCUGAAAGUAAAGGGAUACACCGAUUCAGACUUUAUGACUGAUGUCGGUGAUAGAAAGUCUACAUCAGAGUGUAUUUUUUUGUGUAAUGGUGGUGCAGUUAGCUGGAAGAAUUUCAAGUAGUCGAUCAUUGUAGAUUUGAUCAUGAAAGUCGAGUAUAUCAUCGCUUCUGAAGCUGCUAAGAAAACUUUUUGGUUCAAGAAAUUUGUUACGGAGCUGGGUGUGAUGCCAUCAGAUGCUAUUGCACUGCACUGUGAUAAUAAUAGCGCCAUAGCCCUCGUUAAGAAGCCAAAAGUCUCACCAGAAGUCCAAACACAUAGAGCAGCGGUUUCACAUCAUACGUGAAUAUCUCGAGAAGAAAUUCAUCGAGGUACAGAGAGUCGACUCUAUGCUGAAUGUGGUAGAUCCACUGACCAAGCCUCUCAGCCAAUAAAAGAUCGAAGGUCACCUUGAGAAGAUGGAUCUUAGGUAUGUGGCCAAUUGACUUUAGAUCAAGUGGGAGUUUGUUAGAUUUAUGUCCUAGAAGUCAAUUGUUGUCUGGCACAUUAUGUAGUUUCAGGGUCUAAAAUUAUACUUGUAAUUUUUUUAUUAUCAAUAAAGAACUUUUUCAUUUCAAUUAUGUUUGUGUCCAUGAUUUAUCCUAAAAAUUAAUAAAGAUAAUUUUUAUAUAUUUUUAAAGAGUUAAAAAUUUGAGUCAUACAUUAAUUAGUGGUUAAUUCUAAAUACUCUCAAUCAAAAGAUCAUCACGGAGGACAGUGAUCAGUCUAUUUGAGAUCGUGCAUGGUUCACCUUUCUUGUGGGCAAAUGAGUCUCGGAUCUGCGGUGUAGAGACACUAGGAUGAAGGUGUGGAUGGUUGUUAGAGAACAACUUGCACUGAACGUGACCAAUAUGAGAACCACAUGAUUGUCUACUCACUCGUCAGUGGUCUUCUCGAUGCUGCAGUGAUAUAAGUGAUCCUUUGACCUACGGUGCCAUUGGCUAUUCGCAGCGAGGCUACUGGAUUUGACUGCACGUUUUCUUGGUCUCUAGCCAUUCAGAUCCUUACUGUGUAUAUUGGCUUCAGUAGGUUCAGAUUCACUGUUUGGAGUAGGAUGCCCUUAGAUAGAAUCUAUCGAUCUUGGUAGAAAAAAAGUUCUUUGUGAUUUGCAAGACUGAGUUCAGAAAGUCUUUGAUCAAAGCAAGUGUGAAGACUGAAAAAAAAAUUUCACGAGAUUUACAAAUGAACUUAAGUCAAGUCAAUCUAGUAUAUGACUGACGAUGGGAUAUGACGAGUUCUCCAUGACCUUCGUUAAGUCAGGACUUACGAUAGAAGGACUGAAUCAUACGAUAACUGUAUCUAGAGAUUAGUACUUUCAUUCUACUGAGUUGCCAUUACAUACUGCUAGGUGUCACUGAUAGAUGGUGAGACUCAUCGAACGUUAUCUUGAUGAUCGAUGGUCCUCGAAGGAUAAAAUUAGAAAUAUUUUAAUCCAUUGAAAAGAGUUUCGAUAAUAUUGUAAUGGAGAUCACAAUAUAUCUUACUACCAGAUAGAAUAGAAUCUAUGAAAUCAUCCAUUAAGGGAUUUAAUCUCAAAUUUGCUAAUUGGACUUAUGAAGUUCAAUUAAGUUAGGGUUUAUUGAAAUCUUAUUAAAUUUGUGAGAACCAUGCUAGUACAUGGUUAAACCUAAUUCUUUUUGAGAC